AAAACCGCUACACGAGUCCGUCAGAUGAUUUUCACACGAUUAGUCGAAUAUUUGUCUUUCUCUUCGUGAUAGAUUAUUUAAGUGACGAGCGAAAAAACGACGAGAAGUUUCGAAUUUCUGACUAUAAUAAAUCGACUCUAAAGUGCAACAAGUGACUAGUUCAUUCGUCUAACAAUAAGAGGUGAAUAGAUCGAAGAUGAACUUGUCUGGAGAAGUUGUUUGCGCGUAUUGCAGCGUAAUUAUGUUGCUUGGAUUUUCUAAUUUACACAGGGGAGACAACAAGAAGGCAAUCAAAUUGCUUUCGUCGACAAAUUGUGAUUAACCCAUCAAAGACCAGGAAUUGAAACGAACGCGCGAAAAAUUCGCAAACGCAACGACGUAACGCGUAAAAUUUACGGGAAACUCUGAACACUUUGAAAACCUGACAGUUCGAAGAAACAUGGAAAUUUGUAAAUUUCGGGGGAGCGAAAACGUUGAAACAUGAAUAUUUCGAGGUAUGGAAAUCUUUACUCGAAAUAUGGAGAUUUUUAAACGCGUGAAACUUUGAGGAUAUGGAAAUUUGAAAGAUACGGGAACACUGAAAUAUGGAAAUUCUGAAAUAUGGAAACGUCGAAACUCGAAAGCCUUGAAAUUUGAAAACUUUGAAUAAUUUUAAAAUACGUACGAACUUUAAAAUUCGAGAAUCUUAUAAACUUGGAAGCCUUGAAACUUGACAAUUUCAAGACGAAAUAUACACGACACAUACGUUAUUGCAACAUUGAUUGGAUCGGUCCUUGAUGGAUUAACCGAAGCACCAAAACGGCUUUUCAAAAACAUUCCAGACCGAGAACCACUGAGAACGUCUUUGAAAAACGUACCAAAAAAUCGAAGAAAUCGCAAGAAGAAACGCUCCGGCUAUUGAUUCAAAAUUAACAAGUAGUCAAUUCCGCAAUUCAGGAUUGCACGAUCAAGUCUACUAAAAAACGUAUCGAAUAGCGCCGAUACAAGAAGCAACAACAGCUAGAACAUCUGGUAGACGGUUGCACGGAAUGUGAGAGAGAAUCUCAUCGGAGAGAUUCAAUCGAUGCUACUAACACUAAACUUGUACUUUACGUAUAAUCUACAUGAGAGUGUUACACUAACGAGACACCGGAGAAAAUGACUGCUGAGCUAGUUGAUCGCUGAAAUUUCCCGUUAUCCGGUAAUAUUCAGUAUUUUUCUAAAAAAAAAAAAAAAAAAAAAAAUGGGAACGACGACUUUCAGCAAAAUCCGAUGCGUGCAAGCGAGCCCCACGUCCCUCCUUUUUGCUAUCUUCUUCGUCUUUCACUCAUUAAUACGUUUCUCCGAAUUCACGUUCGUUCAUUCUUCAUCCCCCUUUCUCUCUCUCUCUGUCUCCUACCCAUUCUAUUUAUUAUUAAUAAGAAAUAACUUCGUAAAUAACGCGCGCGAGCGAGCGUGUUUGACGAUUCUCGUGACUUUAUUAACAUUCUUUUCGAUCUUUUUUUUUUUUUUCUUUUUUUCGUAGUCAUCGAUCGAUAGACAACAAUCGACGUGUCAGUUUUAUUUUUAUACUCGUCUCCUGUCUCCUUUGACCAUCCGAGUUAGCUCUCGAUCAUUUCAACGAUUCGUAAAGUAUUGUAUUUAUAAAUGUGUAUAUUAUAAUAAAUAUCGCGUUAUUUUUUUUUUUCUUCGUUCUUUCGCGUUUUGUCUUCUUCCCUCGCGUGUCACCUCGAAACACCCUUCUUCCACCUUCUCUCAAAUGAACGAAGAACAUUUGUCAGCUUUUUGCCUGGGACAAACCUUCUUCGUUUGUCGUUUGUCGUUUCUUUCCUCGACUCGGAGAGAACCUGGAACAGUACUCCGUUGUCCAAUUGUUUCUCCAUUUGGUUUCUCGUUUCUCGGAAAGUCGUUUCAUUUGUGUUCGUGGUUUCCGUCCUCGUGGAGAUCCAUUCGUACGUCAAUUAAGAAUACCAUUUGUCGUAGGAAACAAAAUCGGAUCGU